AGAUGAUGAUGAUUCUAUUCUUGAUAUUACUGACCAGUGGGUAGUUGAAGAUAAAGAUGAGGAGGCAGCAUGCUGCCUAAAUCU
rfam:Arabidopsis thaliana chromosome 1, complete sequence.